rnacentral:rRNA from 1 species
AGGUCAAGCUACUAAGGGUAUGCGGGGGAUGCCUUGGCGCAGGUGAGCGAUGAAGGACGUGGCAGGCUGCGAUAAGCCUCGGUGAGCCGCGAGCAGGCUUUGACCCGGGGAUUUCCGAAUGGGGCAACCCGGCUGGGGUAAUACUCAGUCACCCUCUGGUGAACACAUAGCCAGGCGGGAGCGAACGCGGGGAAUUGAACCAUCUCAGUACCCGCAGGAAAAGAAAGCAAACGCGAGUCCCCAAGUAGUGGCGAGCGAACGGGGAACAGCCUAAACCGUCGACGUGUCAAGCCCGCGAGCGUUGCGUCGACGGUGUCGAGGGGCUAACUCGGCCUUCGCGCGGAGAAGGCGGAGAGUCAAAAACCGAGAGACUAGCUGAAGGGUAUGGAAAGGCCCUCCAAAGAAGGUAAAAGGCCUGUAAGCGAAAGUCUCGAGGCUCUCUCGAGUUGGUUCCCGAGUACUACGGGACCCGAGAAAUCCUGUAGGAAUCCGGGAGGACCAUCUUCCAAGGCUAAGUAUUAACCUGCGACCGAUAGUGAACUAGUACCGUGAGGGAAAGGCGAAAAGAACCCCUGCGAGGGGAGUGAAAAGAACCUGAAACCGCAUACCUACAAGCAGUGGGAGGGCUAUGGCCUUCGGGCAAUGCCUGACCGCGUGCCUUUUGCAUAAUGAGCCGGCUAGUUAGUCUCGGCGGCAAGGUUAAGCGAUAAGCGAGCCGGAGCGAAAGCGAGUCCGAAUAGGGCGAUGAGUCGUCGGGACUAGACGCGAAGCUGAGUGAUCUAUCCUUGGGCAGGCUGAAGCGUGGGUAACACCACGUGGAGGGCCGAACCAGUGUGGGUUGAAAACCGCUUGGAUGACCUGAGGAUAGGGGUGAAAGGCCAAUCAAACUCAGUUAUAGCUCGUUCUCCCCGAAAUAGCUUUAGGGCUAGCCUCAUGUGUUUCUUGUCGGAGGUAGAGCACUCUUUGGACUAGGGGGUGUAACAACCUACCGAAUCCAUGGAAACUCCGAAUGCCGACAAGUGAAGCAUGGGAGUCAGACUGCGGGUAAUAAGAUCCGUAGUCAAAAGGGAAAGAACCCAGACCGCCAGCUAAGGUCCCGAAGUCCGGGCUAAGUGGGAAAGGAUGUGGGGCUGCUGUGACAGCUAGGAGGUUGGCUUAGAAGCAGCCAUCCUUCAAAGAAAGCGUAACAGCUCACUAGUCGAGCGGCCCUGUGCCCAAAAUGUAACGGGGCUAAGCCCGGCACCGAAGCUGCGGACCGGAGCAAUCCGGUGGUAGGGGAGCAUUCCGUAGGAGAUACAAGCCAGAUCGGCAAGAACUGGUAGCGGCCUACGGAAGAGACUCUGCCGGCAUAAGUAGCGAGAAACGGUGUGAGAAUCACCGUCGCCGAAAGACCAAGGUUUCCUGAGGAAGGUUCGUCCUCUCAGGGUGAGUCGGAUCCUAAGGCCAGGCCGAAAGGCGUAGCCGAUGGGCAGCAGGUCAACAUUCCUGCACCGCGAUGACGACUGAUGGGGUGACGCAGGAGGCUAGGCGAUCCGGACGGUUGGAAGUGUCCGGCCCUAAGUCGAGGGGGAUUUCCCAGGAAAAUCCGGGAGAUCGCUACCCUGAGGCAAGGGGGGAAGUGCGGCCAUGUGCCAAACGAACUCGCUGAUGUCACGCUGCCAAGAAAAGCCUCUAGGGUUAAUCGUUGUUGCGUCCGUACCGUAAACCGACACAGGUGGUCGAGGAGAGUAUCCUAAGGCGCGUGAGAGAACUCUGGCUAAGGAACUCGGCAAAAUAGCCCCGUAACUUCGGGAGAAGGGGUGCCCCGGUAGGGUGAAAGCCCGAGGGGGUCGCAGUGAAAGGGCCCAGGCGACUGUUUACCAAAAACACAGCACUCUGCUAAGUCGAAAACGACGUAUAGGGUGUGACGCCUGCCCGGUGCCGGAAGGUUAAGAGGAGGGGUUAGCCGCAAGGCGAAGCUCUGAAUCGAAGCCCCGGUAAACGGCGGCCGUAACUAUAACGGUCCUAAGGUAGCGAAAUUCCUUGUCGGGUAAGUUCCGACCUGCACGAAUGGCGUAACGAUCUGGGCGCUGUCUCGGCCAGAGGCUCAGCGAAUUUGUAGCACCUGUGAAGAUGCAGGUUACCCGCCGCUAGACGGAAAGACCCUGUGAACCUUUACUGCACCCUGGCAAUGGAAUCCGGUGCGUCAUGUGCAGGAUAGGUGGGAGGCUUUGAAGCCGGACCGUCAGGUUCGGUGGAGCCAACGGUGAGAUACCACCCUUGUCGUACUGAAUUUCUAACCUAGGGCCGUGAAUCCGGCCCAGGGACAUUGUCAGGCGGGUAGUUUGACUGGGGCGGUCGCCUCCCAAAAUGUAACGGAGGCGUGCAAAGGUUCCCUCAGGCUGGAUGGAAAUCAGCCGUAGAGUGCAAAGGCAUAAGGGAGCUUGACUGCGAGACCUACAAGUCGAGCAGGGACGAAAGUCGGUCUUAGUGAUCCGGCGGUUCCGAAUGGAAGGGCCGUCGCUCAACGGAUAAAAGGUACUCCGGGGAUAACAGGCUGAUCCCGCCCAAGAGUCCACAUCGACGGCGGGGUUUGGCACCUCGAUGUCGGCUCAUCGCAUCCUGGGGCUGAAGCAGGUCCCAAGGGUUCGGCUGUUCGCCGAUUAAAGCGGUACGUGAGCUGGGUUCAGAACGUCGCGAGACAGUUCGGUCCCUAUCUGCGGUGGGCGUAGGAGAAUUGAGAGGAUGGUUCCCUAGUACGAGAGGACCGGGAACCACGGACCUCUAGUGUACCGGUUGUCGCGCCAGCGGCAGCGCCGGGUAGCUAUGUCCGGAAAGGAUAAGCGCUGAAAGCAUAUAAGCGCGAAGCCCUCCUCGAGAUGAGUUCUCCCGGGCGAAAGCCCCUAAAGACCCCUGGGAGACUACCAGGUUGAUAGGCCGGGAGUGUAAGCGCGGCAACGCGUUCAGCUUACCGGUACUAAUCGGUCGUGCGGCUUGACCAAUCCUCGCU